rnacentral:rRNA from 1 species
UAAUACAUGCAAGUCGAACGAACUCUGGUAUUGAUUGGUGCUUGCAUCAUGAUUUACAUUUGAGUGAGUGGCGAACUGGUGAGUAACACGUGGGAAACCUGCCCAGAAGCGGGGGAUAACACCUGGAAACAGAUGCUAAUACCGCAUAACAACUUGGACCGCAUGGUCCGAGUUUGAAAGAUGGCUUCGGCUAUCACUUUUGGAUGGUCCCGCGGCGUAUUAGCUAGAUGGUGGGGUAACGGCUCACCAUGGCAAUGAUACGUAGCCGACCUGAGAGGGUAAUCGGCCACAUUGGGACUGAGACACGGCCCAAACUCCUACGGGAGGCAGCAGUAGGGAAUCUUCCACAAUGGACGAAAGUCUGAUGGAGCAACGCCGCGUGAGUGAAGAAGGGUUUCGGCUCGUAAAACUCUGUUGUUAAAGAAGAACAUAUCUGAGAGUAACUGUUCAGGUAUUGACGGUAUUUAACCAGAAAGCCACGGCUAACUACGUGCCAGCAGCCGCGGUAAUACGUAGGUGGCAAGCGUUGUCCGGAUUUAUUGGGCGUAAAGCGAGCGCAGGCGGUUUUUUAAGUCUGAUGUGAAAGCCUUCGGCUCAACCGAAGAAGUGCAUCGGAAACUGGGAAACUUGAGUGCAGAAGAGGACAGUGGAACUCCAUGUGUAGCGGUGAAAUGCGUAGAUAUAUGGAAGAACACCAGUGGCGAAGGCGGCUGUCUGGUCUGUAACUGACGCUGAGGCUCGAAA